CCUACGCGAGGCAGUAGUGGGGAAUAUUGGACAAUGGGGGGAACCCUGAUCCAGCCAUGCCGCGUGUGUGAAGAAGGCCCUCGGGUUGUAAAGCACUUUCAGUGAGGAAGAACGCCUGGUGGUUAAUACCCAUCAGGAAAGACAUCACUCACAGAAGAAGCACCGGCUAACUCCGUGCCAGCAGCCGCGGUAAUACGGAGGGUGCGAGCGUUAAUCGGAAUUACUGGGCGUAAAGCGCGCGUAGGUGGCUUGAUAAGCCGGUUGUGAAAGCCCCGGGCUCAACCUGGGAACGGCAUCCGGAACUGUCAAGCUAGAGUGCAGGAGAGGAAGGUAGAAUUCCCGGUGUAGCGGUGAAAUGCGUAGAGAUCGGGAGGAAUACCAGUGGCGAAGGCAGCCUUCUGGACUGACACUGACACUGAGGUGCGAAAGCGUGGGUAGCAAACAGGAUUAGAUACCCCUGUAGUC
rnacentral:rRNA from 1 species